rnacentral:rRNA from 1 species
UACGAAGGGGGCUAGCGUUGCUGGGAAUCACUGGGCGUAAAGCGCACGUAGGCGGAUUGUUAAGUCAGGGGUGAAAUCCUGGAGCUCAACUCCAGAACUGCCUUUGAUACUGGCGAUCUCGAGUCCGGGAGAGGUGAGUGGAACUGCGAGUGUAGAGGUGAAAUUCGUAGAUAUUCGCAAGAACACCAGUGGCGAAGGCGGCUCACUGGCCCGGUACUGACGCUGAGGUGCGAAAGCGUGGGGAGCAAACAGG